rnacentral:rRNA from 1 species
UACGGAGGGUGCAAACGUUGCUCGGAAUCAUUGGGCGUAAAGCGCACGUAGGCGGUCCGGCAAGUCGGGUGUGAAAGCCCUCGGCUUAACCGAGGAAGUGCAUUCGAAACUACCGGACUUGAAUACUGGAGAGGGUUGCGGAAUUCCCGGUGUAGAGGUGAAAUUCGUAGAUAUCGGGAGGAACACCGGUGGCGAAGGCGGCGACCUGGGUAGAUACUGACGCUGAGGUGCGAAAGCGUGGGGAGCAAACAGG